rnacentral:rRNA from 1 species
CCUACGGGAGGCAGCAGUGGGGAAUUUUGGACAAUGGGCGCAAGCCUGAUCCAGCAAUGCCGCGUGAGUGAAGAAGGCCUUCGGGUUGUAAAGCUCUUUUGUCAGGGAAGAAACGGUGGGGGCUAAUAUCUCCUACUAAUGACGGUACCUGAAGAAUAAGCACCGGCUAACUACGUGCCAGCAGCCGCGGUAAUACGUAGGGUGCAAGCGUUAAUCGGAAUUACUGGGCGUAAAGCGUGCGCAGGCGGUUUUGUAAGUCUGUCGUGAAAGCCCCGGGCUCAACCUGGGAAUUGCGAUGGAGACUGCAAGGCUUGAAUCUGGCAGAGGGGGGUAGAAUUCCACGUGUAGCAGUGAAAUGCGUAGAGAUGUGGAGGAACACCGAUGGCGAAGGCAGCCCCCUGGGUCAAGAUUGACGCUCAUGCACGAAAGCGUGGGGAGCAAACAGGAUUAGAUACCCUGGUAGUCCACGCCCUAAACGAUGUCUACUAGUUGUCGGGUUUUAAUUAACUUGGUAACGCAGCUAACGCGUGAAGUAGACCGCUGGGGAGUACGGUCGCAAGAUUAAAACGCAAAUGAAUUGACGG